GGUUAAAAUCCUGGAUGGGGCUCAACCUAAUGAAAGUUAGUAGAAUCCGUACUUUACUUAAAAAGUGCAAUCCAAAUUAUAACACGUUAUAAAGGU